rnacentral:rRNA from 1 species
GACCAGACUCCUACGGGAGGCAGCAGUCGGGAAUAUUGCGCAAUGGAGGAAACUCUGACGCAGUGACGCCGCGUAUAGGAAGAAGGUUUUCGGAUUGUAAACUAUUGUCGUUAGGGAAGAUACAAGACAGUACCUAAGGAGGAAGCCCCGGCUAACUAUGUGCCAGCAGCCGCGGUAAUACAUAGGGGGCAAGCGUUAUCCGGAUUUAUUGGGUGUAAAGGGUGCGUAGACGGAGAAACAAGUUGGUUGUGAAAUCCCUCGGCUCAACUGAGGAACUGCAACCAAAACUAUUUCCCUUAAGUGUCGGAGAGGAAAGUGGAAUUCCUAGUGUAGCGGUGAAAUGCGUAGAUAUUAGGAGGAACACCAGUGGCGAAGGCGACUUUCUGGACGAUAACUGACGUUGAGGCACGAAAGUGUGGGGAGCAAACAGGAUUAGAUACCCCGGUAC